rnacentral:rRNA from 1 species
UACAGGGGGCUAGCGUUGCUCGGAAUCACUGGGCGUAAAGGGUGCGUAGGCGGGUCUUUAAGUCAGGGGUGAAAUCCUGGAGCUCAACUCCAGAACUGCCUUUGAUACUGAAGAUCUUGAGUUCGGGAGAGGUGAGUGGAACUGCGAGUGUAGAGGUGAAAUUCGUAGAUAUUCGCAAGAACACCAGUGGCGAAGGCGGCUCACUGGCCCGAUACUGACGCUGAGGCACGAAAGCGUGGGGAGCAAACAGG